AGUGAACGCUGGCGGUAGGCCUAACACAUGCAAGUCGAACGGCAGCACAGUAAGAGCUUGCUCUUACGGGUGGCGAGUGGCGGACGGGUGAGGAAUACAUCGGAAUCUACUUUUUCGUGGGGGAUAACGUAGGGAAACUUACGCUAAUACCGCAUACGACCUACGGGUGAAAGUAGGGGAUCUUCGGACCUUGCGCGAUUGAAUGAGCCGAUGUCGGAUUAGCUAGUUGGCGGGGUAAAGGCCCACCAAGGCGACGAUCCGUAGCUGGUCUGGGAGGAUGAUCAGCCACACUGGAACUGAGACACGGUCCAGACUCCUACGGGAGGCAGCAGUGGGGAAUAUUGGACAAUGGGCGCAAGCCUGAUCCAGCCAUACCGCGUGGGUGAAGAAGGCCUUCGGGUUGUAAAGCCCUUUUGUUGGGAAAGAAAAGCAGCAGGUUAAUACCCCGCUGUUCUGACGGUACCCAAAGAAUAAGCACCGGCUAACUUCGUG
rnacentral:rRNA from 1 species